CAAUAGCGUAUAUUAAAGUUGUUGCAGUUAAAAAGCUCGUAGUUGGAUUUCUGGUGGGAGCGAUCGGUCUGGCGCUUAGCGCGAGUACUUGCAUCGUCUCCGGCCAUCCUUGGGGAGAGUCUGUCUGGCAUUAGGUUGUCGGGCAGAGGAUCCUCAUCGUUUACUGUGAAAAAAUUAGAGUGUUCAAAGCAGGCUUAUGCCGUUGAAUAUAUUAGCAUGGAAUAAUAAGAUAGGACUUUGGUACUAUUUUGUUGGUUUGCGCACCAAAGUAAUGAUUAAUAGGGACAGUUGGGGGUAUUCGUAUUCCGUUGUCAGAGGUGAAAUUCUUGGAUUUACGGAAGACGAACUACUGCGAAAGCAUUUGCCAAGGAUGUUUNCAUUGA
rnacentral:rRNA from 1 species